GACAACCACUGGGCCAAGCACCCAGAUAAUACGACUUUCUCUUCCUGUCUGGGCCUUGUCUACAGAAAAGAUUAAGACAUAUCACUGGGCCAAGCACCCACACCCACAUGAUGUUACUCACCUGCCUGCAUUCUGCCUACAGUGGGUAUUGUGACAUAUCCCUGGCUCAGAACCAAGGCCCAACUUAUAGAAGGCAUUGUGACAGAUCUCUGGGCUCAUGAUCUAGGAGAUGACUCUACACUCCUGGCUGGACUGUGCCUCACUGAAGAUUUUGACAUAUUACCAAGCCCAUAAACUAGGUGACAUGACUCUGCUCCCUAGCCUAAGCCAUGAUUAAAGGGGACAUUGAGACAUAUUGCUGUGCCCAG